rnacentral:misc_RNA from 1 species
GUGAAUCAUCGAAUUUUUGAACGCAAAUUGCACUCUCUUCGGAGAGUAUGCCUGUUUGAGGGUCAGCCUAAAAAAAAUCGACAUAGUCGCUGUUUCGCGGUGACAUUCGUCGGAAAUUGGGUCAUCUUAAACCUUUUGGUUUAAGCGGCUUAAAAUUUUCCUUUCGAAUCCACGAAAGUUUCUAAGAUUUACUUAACAGUUUAAAGUAAUG